CCUACGGGAGGCAGCAGUGGGGAAUUUUGGACAAUGGGCGCAAGCCUGAUCCAGCCAUUCCGCGUGCAGGAUGAAGGCCUUCGGGUUGUAAACUGCUUUUGUACGGAACGAAACGGUUCUCUCUAAUACAGGGGGCUAAUGACGGUACCGUAAGAAUAAGCACCGGCUAACUACGUGCCAGCAGCCGCGGUAAU
rnacentral:rRNA from 1 species